CGAGGGGUCCUAGCGUUGUUCGGAAUCAUUGGGCGUAAAGAGUCUGUAGGCGGUUUUGUAAGUCAGGUGUGAAAGCCCCGGGCUCAACCCGGGAAGUGCAUCUGAUACUGCUUAACUUGAAUGUUGGAGAGGAUAGCGGAAUUCCUGGUGUAGUGGUGAAAUACGUAGAUAUCAGGAGGAACACCGGUGGCGAAGGCGGUUAUCUGGCCAAACAUUGACGCUGAGAGUCGAAAGCGUGGGGAGCAAACAGGAUUAGAUACCCUGGUAGUCCACGCCGUAAACGAUGGGUACUUGGUGUUGGAGGUAUUGACCCCUUCAGUGCCGAAGCUAACGCGAUAAGUGCCCCGCCUGGGGAGUACGGCCGCAAGGUUA
rnacentral:rRNA from 1 species